UUUUAAGCAUGGGUUGCUGAAGACCUACUCUACCCCGGAUCUUCACUGCAUGGAGACGCCUUCUUCUGCACCAUCAUCGCCCCAGACAUCAUCACCAGAUGUCAUUUUGCGACUUAACAGUAUCCAGAAAACAUAAGAUUCCCAAAAGCUGAAACACACGAUCCCCAUUUCAACAACGCCAGUAAGCUGCAAGAGCAACUUACCUGGACAUGCCAGGCGAGAAACAAAUCAGUUCUUCAAGAGGCCUUAAAGAAAUAGUCAGCUCUAUGGAAUUCCCGCUGCUCAUGACAUUGCUGCAAUGCCCAGAUCACAUCUGACUUUGGCGUCACUAUUUGACAGAUUGACGCUGAGGGUCAUGGACAGAAAUGUGUAUAGCAAGCUAAUGAGGACAAUAAACAAGGCCUCUUCAAGAAUAGUUGUGUGACUACACUCGUGUCACUAGAAGGGACCACAGUCACUCACUCAGUACGCAUCUCUGGUGUCUAGUGAAAAAUAUUUGUGUCGAUCGGGAGUAGAUUGCCCGUUUAGGAGUAGAGCAGGUCUUGCAGAUUCCAGUUGUACAGUGCUUCCGACGACCACCUGAUGCAAAACAUGGUCCCAUGGUACAUGACGUGAUAAAACGCUGUUUACUAAACCUGUAUUAUAAGUCAACGGGUUUCUCUUCACAGAGUGAGUGUGU
rnacentral:lncRNA from 1 species